AGCAGCCGCGGUAAUUCCAGCUCCAAUAGCGUAUAUUAAAGUUGUUGCAGUUAAAAAGCUCGUAGUUGAAUUUCGGGAUUGACACAUCGGUCGUGCCUUAAGGGGUAUGAACUGGUGUAGUCAAUUUCUCACCUUCUGGAGAACCGCGAUGCCCUUAAUUGGGUGUCACGGGGAACCAGGACCUUUACUUUGAAAAAAUUAGAGUGUUUAAAGCAGGCAUUUUGCUUGAAUACAUUAGCAUGGAAUAAUAAAAUAGGACGGCAUGAUUCUAUUUUGUU
rnacentral:rRNA from 1 species